ACGGAAGGCAGCAGUGAGGAAUAUUGGUCAAUGGGCGGAAGCCUGAACCGGCCAAGUCGCGUGAAGGAUGAAGGUAUUAUGUAUUGUAAACUUCUUUAGUCGCAGAGAAAUAAGGCGGACGAGUCCGCUGAUGCUAGUAUGCGAAGAAUAAGGAUCGGCUAACUCCGUGCCAGCAGCCGCGGUAAUACGGAGGAUCCGAGCGUUAUCCGGAUUUAUUGGGUUUAAAGGGUGCGCAGGCGGCUUUUUAAGUCAGUGGUCAAAUCGUGGGGCUCAACCCCAUCCCGCCAUUGAUACUGGAGAGCUUGAUUGCGGUCGAGGUUGGCGGAAUUCGUCGUGUAGCGGUGAAAUGCAUAGAUAUGACGAAGAACACCGAUUGCGUAGGCAGCUGACCAGGCCGUAAAUGACGCUCAUGCACGAAAGUGCGGGGAUCGAACAGGAUUAGAUACCCUGGUA
rnacentral:rRNA from 1 species